CCUACGGGUGGCAGCAGUGGGGAAUAUUGGACAAUGGGGGCAACCCUGAUCCAGCCAUGCCGCGUGUGUGAAGAAGGCCCUCGGGUUGUAAAGCACUUUCAGUGAGGAAGAACGCCUGGUGGUUAAUACCCAUCAGGAAAGACAUCACUCACAGAAGAAGCACCGGCUAACUCCGUGCCAGCAGCCGCGGUAAUACGGAGGGUGCGAGCGUUAAUCGGAAUUACUGGGCGUAAAGCGCGCGUAGGUGGCUUGAUAAGCCGGUUGUGAAAGCCCGGGCUCAACCUGGGAACGGCAUCCGGAACUGUCAAGCUAGAGUGCAGGAGAGGAAGGUAGAAUUCCCGGUGUAGCGGUGAAAUGCGUAGAGAUCGGGAGGAAUACCAGUGGCGAAGGCGGCCUUCUGGACUGACACUGACACUGAGGUGCGAAAGCGUGGGUAGCAAACAGGAUUAGAUACCCCAGUAGUC
rnacentral:rRNA from 1 species